AUAAAGUAUUAUUUUAUGGUAUGUAACUCUGAAGGGAGUUAAAAUAUUGUUCAGAGUUCUAAUUUUCUGGAGGCCCGUGAAGGUAGCAUAAAACGGGACCUGUGUAUCUGUUGGAAUGGAGGAGGAGAAGAGAAUGGCAUGGAGAGAUGCACGAGGUUAGCUGAACCAAAGUGAGAGACUCGGCUAGUUUUACUGAGGUUAACUAGCACAAAAGAGUGUGUAACUAGAAAGCUAACCGUGUGGGAGCUUCGCAACAGAGUGUGGGUGAAGUGACUUUUUGUUUCAACGGUCGCACCACCGUGGAAAACUGUGUUUCCAGCUACGAUCGCCGAGGCUAAAGGCUAGCCCGGACUGCUUGGCUGCACCACGGAGGCAGCCGCUAUGGACUGUCGGAGAGCUGGACAGUGACGGGCUAACGUGCUGUAGCAGAGACAGCAACGGGUCCGCAGGGAGUGGAUUUAGUGUGGGACUGGUGAACGGCGACCUACCGAGCAACGGAACUUCUUUAUCAUGCUCCUGUGACACAACCAUUUAUCUUCUGGGAUCAAUAAGCUCUUCACAGUGCGCCGUUUCCUGAGACAAGGCUUUGAAGUGGAUGAGGGAGGUGAGACACCAUGCGCCCAGAUGCCCAGCCGCUGUGGUUAAAGGGUCUUUAUCACGCAGACAAGGGGGACAGCACUCAGCUCUUGCCCUUCUAUCUUUCACCGCGGCAGAAGAGUGAUUUUGACAACCAGCGCUCCCCAGCUGCGCAGGGGCCAGGCCUGCAAAACCACAGGCGGAUAAUGAAUGCCACACCAUCGUGACAACUUGCACUUUUAUGGAAAGGGGAGGAAGGACACUUGUGCUCACAGCGUAUGAUGGGACGUCCUCCAUAAACCAGACAAUCAAAGCGAGGGCAGAUAAGCAUCUGUGGAAUCUGUGACGGGAACCUCCGCUGAUUUAUGGGCACUACUGGAAAAGAAAAUGCCACAGCGCAGGAUCACGGUGGCAGGCAGGGAGCCAGAAUAGCCUGAUGUUCUGUCGAAGGGUGAGGCGGAUGAGGGUUUCAGACGCAUUGCCUCACCCAAAGCCUGAGGCUAAGCUGCAAUGAGUUGGAAUGAGACCAGAUGAGAGGGAGGAAUGAACUACUGGGACAACUCCUCCACUUCAAAAAGCCUCUCCACUUUUACUUCAGGGGAUUUUGGCUGAGGUUAUGCCACAUGACCUGUUUCUAAUAACAUUUCUUUCUUUUUGCCUUUCUGUAAAACAUGCCACACUGGAGUGGAGUCAUUAAUCUUGUUAAAUCUUUCAUACUAAUAUCUGUUGAGCUGCUUUGACUGCUAAAGUCGCUUGAAAUGAGUCUGAAUCGCUAAUUCACUCCAGUGCCAUUUCAUUUCAUUUCAGCAGUGGCAGAUUUGGACUGCUCUGUGCACAAGAAUAUUUAAAAAAAAAUAUGUGGGCACAGCUACAGCAGGCUAUAUUCAUGCUGUAACCCCAAUCCAUUCAAGUUCACAACACACUGGCUGGAAAUCCCCACCUCAUGACUGAGCUUCCUGGUUACUGGCUGGUGGAGGCGCCUUUUUUUCUUCUUCUUCUCCUCUCCCUCUCUCAUUCUUUUCUUUAAACAUUAACAAGCCAGGAAAAUAUUAUCUAAUCAUAACUAAAAGGCUAACUGUGUACAUCCUGAAUUCACCCUGGUGAGCUGGCAAAAAUAAAAGAGAGAAAAUGCGGGCUGUAAAGUCGCUCCAAUAAGCCUGUAAAUUGUGCCCAUGUGCUACAAUAACACAUUUUUGAGAUCCUCUGUAUAAAUAUAAGAUCUGCCAUUGGAUUACAAUCGCUGUUUUUCUCAGGGUCGACCCACCUCAUUCAGUGCACAGUAGUAGUAGCAGCAGCUCACUGCGUCGAGGCGCGGUGCAUUGAGAAAAACAAGCUGCAGCCUGAACCGGAUAAUGCUCUGAAUUUAGGACAAAGCAGCAACCGGAGGAGCUUGAAAGUCGCUUUUUUUUUUAUUAUCCCCUGGCGGUCUGUUGCUAACCUACAGCCAUAUUUCUUUUAGCAGCGUGCAGGCUGGUACCGGUGGACCUAUUUUUUUGCAGGUUUGAUGAUAAUAAUAACAGUAGCGCGGGUUAUUCCGGAGUCGGAGGCGGUGGUGAAGCUGAACUGGGUGCCUUUUUUGUUGGCAGAAGCUCAGGUGAUUAAGUUAAAAUAUUAAAAAAGAGAGAGAGAGAGAGAAAAGCGGUGAGUGACAAGAGGCUGC
ensembl:lncRNA